rnacentral:rRNA from 1 species
UACGGGGGUGAGCAAGCGUUGUUCGGAUUUACUGGGCGUAAAGGGCGCGUAGGCGGCCAGCACAAGUCAGUUGUGAAAUCUCCGAGCUUAACUCGGAAAGGUCAACUGAUACUGUGCGGCUAGAGUGCGGAAGGGGCAACUGGAAUUUACGGUGUAGCGGUGAAAUGCGUAGAUAUCGUAAGGAAGACCAGUGGCGAAGGCGGGUCUCGUGGACAGUUCCUGACGCUGAGGCACGAAGGCCAGGGGAGCAAACGGG